rnacentral:rRNA from 1 species
AGAUGUUGGGUUAAGUCCCGUAACGAGCGCAACCCUUGUCCUUAGUUACCAGCACGUUAUGGUGGGCACUCUAAGGAGACUGCCGGUGACAAACCGGAGGAAGGUGGGGAUGACGUCAAGUCAUCAUGGCCCUUACGGCCUGGGCUACACACGUGCUACAAUGGUCGGUACAAAGGGUUGCCAAGCCGCGAGGUGGAGCUAAUCCCAUAAAAACCGAUCGUAGUCCGGAUCGCAGUCUGCAACUCGACUGCGUGAAGUCGGAAUCGCUAGUAAUCGUGAAUCAGAAUGUCACGGUGAAUACGUUCCCGGGCCUU